rnacentral:rRNA from 1 species
CCUACGGGAGGCAGCAGUGGGGGAUAUUGCACAAUGGGGGAAACCCUGAUGCAGCGACGCCGCGUGGGUGAAGAAGCGCCUCGGCGCGUAAAGCCCUGUCAGCAGGGAAGAAAAUGACGGUCCCUGAAGAAGAAGCCCCGGCUAACUACGUGGCAGCAGCCGCGGUAAUACGUAGGGGGCAAGCGUUAUCCGGAUUGACUGGGUGUAAAGGGGGCGCAGACGGCGAUGCAAGCCAGGAGUGAAAGCCCGGGGCCCAACCCCGGGACUGCUCUUGGAACUGCGUGGCUAGAGUGCAGGAGGGGCAGGCGGAAUUCCUGGUGUAGCGGUGAAAUGCGUAGAUAUCAGGAGGAACACCGGUGGCGAAGGCGGCCUGCUGGACUGCAACUGACGUUGAGGCCCGAAAGCGUGGGGAGCAAACAGGAUUAGAUACCCCAGUAGUC